rnacentral:lncRNA from 1 species
CAGCCCUAACAACACACAACAUUCCAGGAAUGUACUACCAAAGUUCUAUCAAUAUUUGAAUGUCCUGGACAUUUAGGGAACAUUCGGUGAACAUCUGAUUAAAUUAUUCGUGGAAUGUUACCAUAAGACAUUCUGUGAACAUACUACCAAUGUUCCUGUUCAUUUUCAAAUUCACGGCGCAUGUAUUUGUGCAUGGUGCUUAGAGAGGGCAUCACGUGACUAAAAACGACCAAUGACCUCACUUCAGACUUCGGUUCGGCCAUCUUGACAUGCAUCUUGCCUUGGCCACCUUGCCGUGCGUGAUCGUUGUUUGUUUUUAUUUGUGCUUUUUAAGAAUAUUUUUUAAUUCGGAUACUUUUAUAAUAACUUUAAUAGUAUUAUUAAUAUAGUGCAUAAAAUCAGUUGGAGUAGCAGAAGCAAUGUAGAUAAAAAAUCUGCAGGAAUAAUGUUUCAAAGCUUUCCAGAAGAUCCUGCGAAGAAGGCAUGAAGUAUUGAUCAGAUUUGUUAAUAGAGCAGUAUGUUCAAAACAUUUUUUAGAAAAAGAUAUUGACAGAACUUCACUUUCAACCGUUUGAGAGACUGUGCUGUUCCAAUAGCUUAUAUCACACAGAAUCAGCUGAGAGAAGUGGUCUACAAAAAACCAGGAAGGAAAUGGAAUAUGUGGCUAUGAAAGGCAAAAGAAAGGUUUACAAAGCAAAUGUGACACAUUUUUUUAUAGGAAUAUCAGUAAAUUACAUUAAAAAAAUGUAUGAAAAGAUUUUUUGCAAUAAAAAUGUUUAUAUUUAUCAAGCAUGCAUUAUUUGGUAUGGCCACAUAUCGUCAGUGAUGUGACAAUACCUCCUAUCUGUUUUUUCAUGAGAUUUGUAAGAUAGACUAAAAACUUGUUUGGGCCACCUCCUGUUUUCAUAUAUUUUUUGACUUGUUUUGCAGUAAAUUUAACUAUCUAUUUACUACAAAACAAGCCAGAACUUACGUAUGCAAACAGGAGGUGACCUUAAAAAAUGUUUUUCGUCUCCUGCAAACCUCAUGAAAAAAGAU